UUAUUCCAUAUUUUAAGAAAAAUUGAUACAUAUUAUAUUGAUUUAUUUAUUACAAUAAAAUCCCCUCCCUAGUUAUUACCUAAAGAUCUAUGCUCAAAAAUUAUUGGAUUAUUUUGUAAUGACAUUUAAUAAAAUAUAUGGAAGCUUCAAUGUUUCUUAUAACAUACUGUAUUGAAGUACUUUUCUUACUUUGAAAACAUCAUCUUCUGUUUCAAAUCAAGGCCUUACGCUUAAUAACCGUAAAACUGGUAUUGAACCUACAACUUCAUUAGCUGAGUUUCAAAAAUGUGUAGUGAACAUAUUGUCUACUAUAAAAUAUGACAUAAAUUGUUGUGUAUCUACUAAUCAACAAAUUAAUGCUAACAUGAAUACAUUGCUGGAAAAUUUAAACAAAAAUGCAGUAACAUCAAAUAAUGGUUUUAAUGAUUAUGACCUAAAUGAUAUAUUUCCUAUAGAAAGUCAUGAGUCUACAAGAAUUUGAAUUUAAGAAAAUAAUUUUAAAACUAUCAUAGUACACAAAUUGUCAUUGCUUGUUACUAAUAAAAGUGUAGGUGACUCAGUGAGGCGUUUAUUGUCCAGAAUGUUUGAUGAUAAAGUUCUUGAAAGCUACUCAACAUAUGGCUUUAAAAAAAGAUUGAG